rnacentral:rRNA from 1 species
ACGGACGCUGGCGGCGUGCUUAACCCCUGCCAGUCGCACGGAAAGGCCCUGCUUUUGUGGGGUGCUCGAGUGGCGAACGGGUGAGUAACACGUGAGUAACCUGCCCUUGACUUUGGGAUAACUUCAGGAAACUGGGGCUAAUACCGGAUAGGAGCUCCUGCUGCAUGGUGGGGGUUGGAAAGUUUCGGCGGUUGGGGAUGGACUCGCGGCUUAUCAGCUUGUUGGUGGGGUAGUGGCUUACCAAGGCUUUGACGGGUAGCCGGCCUGAGAGGGUGACCGGCCACAUUGGGACUGAGAUACGGCCCAGACUCCUACGGGAGGCAGCAGUGGGGAAUAUUGCACAAUGGGCGGAAGCCUGAUGCAGCAACGCCGCGUGCGGGAUGACGGCCUUCGGGUUGUAAACCGCUUUCGCCUGUGACGAAGCGUGAGUGACGGUAAUGGGUAAAGAAGCACCGGCUAACUACGUG